GUCACGAUGGCCGAGUGGUUAAGGCGUUGGACUUGAAAUCCAAUGGGAUCUUCCCGCGCAGGUUCGAACCCUGCUCGUGACG